rnacentral:rRNA from 1 species
CUGGAAAGUGUAGCCAUAGAGGGUGAUAGUCCCGUAUGCAAAAACCUAACCUUAGCUAGCAGUAUCCUGAGUAGGGCGGGACACGAGAAAUCCUGUCUGAAGCUGGGUAGACCACUAUCCAACCCUAAAUACUACUACCAGAUCGAUAGCGAACAAGUACCGUGAGGGAAAGGUGAAAAGAACGGCGGUGAGCCGAGUGAAAUAGAACCUGAAACCAUUUGCUUACAAUCAUUCAGAGCACUAUGUAGCAAUACAGUGUGAUGGACUGCCUUUUGCAUAAUGAGCCUGCGAGUUGUGGUGUCUGGCAAGGUUAAGCUAACGCGAAGCCGUAGCGAAAGCGAGUCUGAAUAGGGCGCUAAGUCAGAUGCUGCAGACCCGAAACGAAGUGAUCUAUCCAUGAGCAGGUUGAAGCUAGUGUAAGAACUAGUGGAGGACCGAACCCGCUAGCGUUGAAAAGCUAUGGGAUGACUUGUGGAUAGGGGUGAAAGGCCAAUCAAACUUCGUGAUAGCUGGUUCUCUCCGAAAUAUAUUUAGGUAUAGCGUUGUGUCGUAACUAAAGGGGGUAGAGCACUGAAUGGGCUAGGGCAUACACCAAUGUACCAAACCCUAUCAAACUCCGAAUACCUUUAGUGUAAUCACAGCAGUCAGGCGGCGAGUGAUAAAAUCCGUCGUCAAGAGGGAAACAACCCAGACUAACAGCUAAGGUCCCCAAAUCUUACUUAAGUGGAAAACGAUGUGAAGUUACUUAAACAACCAGGAGGUUGGCUUAGAAGCAGCCAUCCUUUAAAGAAAGCGUAAUAGCUCACUGGUCUAGUGAUUUUGCGCGGAAAAUAUAACGGGGCUA